rnacentral:rRNA from 1 species
CCUACGGGUGGCAGCAGUGGGGGAUCUUGCACAAUGGGGGAAACCCUGAUGCAGCGACGCCGCGUGAGUGAAGAAGUAUUUCGGUAUGUAAAGCUCUAUCAGCAGGGAAGAAAAUGACAGUACCUGACCAAGAAGCCCCGGCUAACUACGGGCCAGCAGCCGCGGGAAUCAGUAGGGUGCAAGCGUUAUCCGGAUUUACUGGGUGUAAAGGGAGCGUAGACGGUUUUGUAAGUCUGGAGUGAAAGCCCGGGGCCCAACCCCGGGACUGCUUUGGAAAAUGGGUCACUGGAGUAAAGGAGGGGCAGGCGGAAUUCCUGGUGUAGCGGUGAAAUGCGUAGAUAUCAGGAGGAACACCGGCGGCGAAGGCGGCCUGCUGGACUGAAACUGACGUUGAGGCUCGAAAGCGUGGGGAGCAAACAGGAUUAGAUACCCUGGUAGUC